rnacentral:rRNA from 1 species
AGUUCUGGUGUCAGCCGCCGCGGUAAAACCAGCACCUCAAGUGGUCAGGAGGAUUAUUGGGCCUAAAGCAUCCGUAGCCGGCUCUGUAAGUUUUCGGUUAAAUCCAUGUGCUCGGCGCAUGGGCUGUCGAAAAUACUGCAUAGCUAGGGAGUGGGAGAGGUAGACGGUACUCGGUAGGAAGGGGUAAAAUCCUUUGAUCUAUCGAUGACCACCUGUGGCGAAGGCGGUCUACCAGAACACGUUCGACGGUGAGGGAUGAAAGCUGGGGGAGCAAACCGGAUUAGAUACCCGGGUAGUCCCAGCUGUAAACGAUGCAGACUCGAUGAUGCAUUGGCAUAUAGCCAGUGCAGUGUCGCAGGGAAGCCGUUAAGUCUGCCGCCUGGGAAGUACGUACGCAAGUAUGAAACUUAAAGGAAUUGGCGGGGGAGCACCACAA